GCACAUCAAAUUGACGUUAAAUACAGAAGAAGCACCGGCUAACUCCGUGCCAGCAGCCGCGGUAAUACGGAGGGUGCGAGCGUUAAUCGGAAUAACUGGGCGUAAAGGGCACGCAGGCGGUUAUUUAAGUGAGGUGUGAAAGCCCUGGGCUUAACCUAGGAAUUGCAUUUCAGACUGGGUAACUAGAGUACUUUAGGGAGGGGUAGAAUUCCACGUGUAGCGGUGAAAUGCGUAGAGAUGUGGAGGAAUACCGAAGGCGAAGGCAGCCCCUUGGGAAUGUACUGACGCUCAUGUGCGAAAGCGUGGGGAGCAAACAGGAUUAGAUACCCUGGUAGUCCACGCUGUAAACGCUGUCGAUUUGGGGGUUGGGGUUUAACUUUGGCGCCCGUAGCUAACGUGAUAAAUCGACCGCCUGGGGAGUACGGCCGCAAGGUUAAAACUCAAAUGAAUUGACGGGGGCCCGCACAAGCGGUGGAGCAUGUGGUUUAAUUCGAUGCAACGCGAAGAACCUUACCUACUCUUGACAUC
rnacentral:rRNA from 1 species